AAAAAGACAAACCCUGGUUUCCGUGUCCAACGUUUGACCGUUCGUCUUAUUUAAAAAAAAUUAAAAGACAAGUCAUGCAUAAAGUAUUAAUCAUGUUUUAUCAUCUAAUAACAAUGAAAAUACUAAUUAUAAAAAAAAUCAUAUAAAACGGACAGUCAAACGUUUGACACGGAAAUCCAGUGUUUGUCUUUUU
rfam:Oryza nivara chromosome 10, whole genome shotgun sequence.